CCUCGCGCAAUAGGAGGACAGAAAUACAACGGACUCCCUCAUCCGAAGAGGAACCCGCAUAUAAGGAGAAUAAGUUUGACAAAUGCCCAAUUCUUAUGGGUAAGAGUGUCGAUUUUGCCUCUUUUACUUUCGAUGCUCAUUCCUUUCAAAUCGAGGAAUAUUUCAUGAGGAUGGGUUGGAUAUCUGUUGCCACCUUAGAAGAAAAUGUCUACUCGAAUCUUAUCAAAGAAUUAUACUCCGAGAACGGGCAUAACUUGUUUUCUCAAAGGAAAGAGGGUAAAGAUUACUAGGAGCCUCAUUCGAAGGAUGUUCGAACUAGACGAUUGUGAAAAUCAAGUUUAUUUUCAUAUGAUUACACCUGUCUUUGAAGGCUAUAACCCUGUCGAAGCUUGUAGUCGAGUCACUAGAAAACCUUUUCAAAAUGCAGUAAAACUUACUUUCAAUCAACUCACUCUACCUUGUAAAGUUUUACACAAUAUCAUUGCUCAUGUAAUCGUACCUUGAAAAGGC
rnacentral:lncRNA from 1 species